rnacentral:rRNA from 1 species
AACGCUGGCGGCGUGCUUCAAACAUGCAAGUCGAACGGAGUUAAUUUUGAAGCUUGCUUUAGAAUUAACUUAGUGGCGGACUGGUGAGUAACGCGUGAGUAAUCUGCCUAUCACAGGGGGAUAACAGAGGGAAACUUCUGCUAAUACCGCAUAAGACCACAGGAUGGCAUCAUCAAGGGGUCAAAGGUUAGAUCUGGUGAUAGAUGAGCUUGCGUAUCAUUAGCUAGUUGGUGGGGUAAAGGCCCACCAAGGCGACGAUCAGUAGCCGGACUGAGAGGUUGAACGGCCACAUUGGGACUGAGAUACGGCCCAGACUCCUACGGGAGGCAGCAGUGGGGAAUAUUGCACAAUGGGGGAAACCCUGAUGCAGCAACGCCGCGUGAAGGAUGACGGUUUUCGGAUUGUAAACUUCUGUUCUCGUUGACGAAGACAGUGACGGUAAACGAGGAGCAAGCCACGGCUAACUACGUGCCAGCAGCCGCGGUAA